AUCCAGGUGACGAGCCAAAAAUAGGACGAAACGCGCAUCCUGGAU
rnacentral:hammerhead_ribozyme from 1 species